UUGAGCCCGUUUAAUGGGUGGGAUAAACGGCUCUUAAAAAUCAGCCGUUGGAUCACUGGAGGGUCAAGGAGAAACUUCAAUGGAUCACUGGAGGUGGAGCGUCAAGGAGCAACUUCAAGUUCAAUGUAGCGUGUCAUCGAAGAAAGCGCAGGAGCGUUCGGCUUUGUUUUCUCUCUGGAGCGUUUGGCUCUCUCUCUCUCUCUCUCUCUCUCACACAUUAUUACAGAGGAUAGAUAGGAACGGUUUCUGCAGAAUCACAAGGCUUGGUGGAGAAUUUGUUGGAAACGAACUUUGGAGGUGAAAUUAGGGUUUCAUGUGUUUCGGUUCAGUUGAUGAAAUUAAGGUUUUGAUAGUUGGUUUCUGUCGGCGGAGGAGAUGACUUAUACUCGGAGGACGUACCGAUCCUUGAAUGGCGCAACAAGGUGGCGGAAGAGGAGGAGGUGUGCUCCCUGAAGCCGAAGAAGCAGAAGACGAAUGAUGGGUAUUACAACGUACCCGUAAUCAGAUACAUGGUGGCGUACGUAGGCAACUGCGUCGUAUUUUGAUGGUGAAGAAAGCCCAGGAAAGCCCUCUCUCUCUCUCUCUAUAUAUAUAUAUAUAUAUAUGUGUGUGUGUGUGUGUGUGUGUUACCAUAGAGUUUCACUUUCACCUCUCCCAUUGCAUAUAUAUUUUUGUGCAUGUGUGUGUAUACUAUCUUGAUAUAUGCCCAAUUUUUUUGUUUUUUAUGCUAUAGAUGGGGUGGGUUUUUUAUGCUAUAAAUGGGGCGGGUUGGAGAAAGAUUCGCAGAAUUAAGAAGCUACGUGGGAAAGGCAACAUGAGAUUGCUGGUGAGAAGAUUUAUAACAUGUGCUCUCAUCUUGGAUGAUUUUUUGUCUAGUGAAGCUAAACUGGAAGUAGCUGUUGUUAGAGUCAUUCAAACUGAUGCCAUUCCUGUUCUUGAGAAACUUCAUUAGAAGAAAGGGCACUGAAGCAGCAAUAUAGGCAGAGAUGUUUAUGGAUGGCUUUCGCGAUUCUGGGAUUACUCGCUCCUGCCACAACUGUAGGCCUGUCUGUUAUAUAUUUGAGGAUUUCGAUAAGGCCAUUAAGGAGGCUAUUCAACCAACGACUAAGCUUCUGAGUGAGGCCUUGAGGGAAGCCAUCACUCAGAUUUCUAAUGAUGCUAGGGAGAAAAAACGCAAAUUCAAUGAAACAGUUGAGCUCCAAAUUGGGUUGAAGAACUAUGCUCCCCAAAAGGAUAAGCAUUUCAGUGGUUCGGUGAGGUUGUCUUAUAUUCCACGUCCCAAAAUGAAGGUUUGCAUGCUUGGUGAUGCUUAGCACGUGGACGAAGUAAUCCUGCUCAGUUUGGAUUAGUAUUUUUCUUUCUCUAUUGGUUUUCUUGUAUUUGCUUGCUGCUUUUAGUUGCCAAGAAUGAGUAUUUCUUAUACCCUUGAAUAAAGGGCACCCAAAUUACGAGAAAAUUGCAUGUCAUUUCCUAUUUAUGGUAGAACCUUUGCCAUAAAAAAAUAUAAUCCUUGGAAUACAUGCCGAGCGAAGGUUUUUUUUGGAGCCCCACCUCUUUGUCUUCUGGAAGCAAAAGAGGGAUAAUCCUGAAAAAGUCACACCAGUGUGGUCUUAUUAUACCUUUGGUGAUUCUAUUCACCAAGCACCCCAACUUUGUAAUGUUUUUGCUGCUCGAGUUGUAAGUCUUGUUUCUCUCAGGGUUCGUUUGAUUAGGAAGAAAUCUAUAUUGGAAAGUGAAGUGAAAGAAAAGAAUGUGUAUAUAAAAUUUAUUUUCUUCUAUGGGUUUGAUUAAAAUGAAUUUUUUUUUUUUAAGAAUCUUGUCAGAAAAUGUUUAUAGUUACUAAAUUACCUGCCUAUCAAAAUAAAAGUUGCUAACUUACCCUUAAUAUACAAUGGAUUCGGGUAGGAAAGGAAGAAAAUCAUAGGCAUAAUGGUAAAAUGUCAUUAGAGGUGGCAACUUUCACUAGAAAAUAAAAUUUCCUUGUGUUUUUAGCAAGAAAGUGAAAGAUAUGUAAUUGUGCUUAAAUGAGUUGUACAAGAAAAUUUACUUUCUAACACUUUCAACCAUUUUCAUGCUAAUCAAACACCAAAAAAAGUGUGUUUUUCCCCCUUCUUACAUUUUCUUUCAUUUUCACUCUAAUCAAACCCCUUGGUAUGUUUUUCAUUUUCUUCUUUAUUGUCCACCCCACCUUAAAAUAAUACUGCUUAACUUUCAGCCAUAUGUUAUCUUUUCCUUUUGAUAGUCACCAUUGGAAUGCCAAAAUAAUUUGGUUUAGUUUGUCUGCAAAGGUGAUGUUAAGCAACGACAAUUCGUAGUUGCGUCUCCAAUGCAUAGAUUUUGAAGACUGGAUUCCUCAAGGUACAAUGGUAUUUUCUAUUUUGUUUGUUUCUACAAUUUUCUCCCUUGUAUCGUAUGACUUGUGUACAUGUUACAAAUUUACUUGGGAAAGGCUCAGUUGUUUGUGUUUCAAGUGAUAUAAAGGUCUGUUCAUUUGGCAAUUGGCAUAUAUUCCUUUCAAACUUGUUCCAAGUAUUAUAAAAGGUUUGUUCAUUUGACAAUUGGCGUAUGGGGCUCUCCUAGGAAGUGGCAUUGGAUAUUUCUUUCCAAUUACAGAUGUUUGAAAACAAAAUCAUUUUUAUUUUUAUGUAGAAUCACGUUUUCUUUGCUUUUAUUUCCUCGUUGGAGACUUGAAGAGCUUGACCAACUUUUUGGUUUCUAAGGCAUUUUUGGUCUGAUAGGUGGUUUUGGUAGGUCUUCAAAAGUUAGAUCUUAUUUGCUUUUCAUUUUCCAGGCCUGCAGUGUUACAGACUGUCGCAUGGUUGAUCAAAACUAAACAUUCAAUGUUAACUCUAUUUUUUUUCCCACUCGAAUCAUUGAGAAACUAGAUGAAGGCAUGGUUCUAGUUUGCUCUCAUUUUGAGUAUGUGUUUUAAAAUAGAAUCAUUGGCACUAAACCUUCUAUUACUUAUCUUGUCUUUAACCAAUUUUUUAGUCUUAUCCUAUUGAACUAAUUUAGAUAAUAUGUAGUGAACUAUUCUUACAUCCAUUACUAUGUUUGUUGUUGUAAGGAAACUAUUCUUCGGCAUUGUUAAGGGUUGAGGAAUCGGUGAAACUAUCGGUGGAAAAAACUUACAUGAGGUUUUUCAUUUUCCUUUCAAAAUCUAUAGGUGGAAAAAACUUACAUCUAUAAGGAAUGAACUCCUUCAAGUCAUCUUACAUCAUAAAUAUAGAUUACAUACCAUUUUAUCCAGAACAAUCCUCAGCAAGAAACAACCAACCAUCAUGUUUUUUGUGCAUGGCACGAAGCUCACUACCUAGUUUGUGUUCGUAAUACAUAUUUUCAAUGGUAUUAACUUGAAAUAUUCCGUAAUAUCACAUGAGAUCUUCACCCCCGAGCUCUGAAAUCCCUAUGCUCUAUUUUCUAUACUCCUUUUCGUACUAUAUUAAUUCUCAUUUAUCGCAAUCUACAGUAAUUAAAGGGUUUUUUGCUCCAAGCAAUUAUU